AUUAGCUGGUCUUAUUGAUUUUCUUGUUUUAUUUUAGGUUUUAUUAUUGGUGCCAGGGACGAACACUGGAGACAGUUAAGUGGCGGACCCAAGUGUGGGUGAGCUUUAUUCAAGCAACCAGGUUCCACGGACAAGGCGAAAUCAAGGCUGAGGACAGGCAAAGAUCUGAGAGGCGCGAACGUCAUCAACUGGGAGCUCAUUUGGUCCUCAUGGGGAGGAUGGAACAGUCAACCCAACCGCCCAGACAGUCCCAACCACCCCUCCGAUGACUGAAAAAAGUACUGGGACCACAGUGUUCGCGAGUGUAAACUCGAAAGAACGUGGAACGGGAUGGUUUUUCCAGCCACAGAAACGUCCAGAAUCGAUCGACUCUCGGCUCUUCGGACCAGCUGACCCAGCAGCGGCGGCCACAAGAUUCUUUUACCACACUGAGCUGAACCUCGGCGUCCAUACAAGCUGGACAGAAGUGUUGCAAAUAAAUUAAUAAAACAUGAAGGAUCCAUGUUAACAUGCCUGAGUGCCGCGUUCUCCAGUGGGGCUGUGCC